CAUAUUCCAAACGUGAAAGUGGAAGUGUUGAUAUUACGAGCAGCACCUGAACGCAGCACUGUUCCCAAGGAGAACCCCGCAAAAGGAAAAAGGUCGUGUAUCUGGGAUCCUCCGUUGAAAUCCUUCAAACCAGCACGAGGGAAGGACAGAUAAUAAAUUAACCAUCAAGCUGUGAGUGAUUUUAUGUCGGUGCCGUUACCGUCCGGUCUGCACGGACCCCGGUCUGCACCUCUCAUCAGGUCCUUUAAUGUGAGGAGCAGCGAGCCUUCAACCUGCUGCCUGAACGUGGAUCCACACCGAGCCCUCUUCUCUCUGAGGGGAUGGAGGUGAAAGCCUGAAAGUAACUCUGACUCAAGGUCACGUCUGUCUGGCUCUGGAAACUCCAGACAGAUCGCUGCCCGGAGAGGAGACUGAGAAGAGGAAGCCGGGCACUUUGGGAUCUGACCAGUGACCUGCAGGGGGAGAGAAGCAGCGUAGAGGCUUGAUUAAAAUGGGGCUGCAGAUCUUGGUACCUGCUGACAGUGUGUCUGAGGGCCGCUCGCUCAGCCAACAGCCAUGCCAGACGUAAAGCCUCCACCACCAUGUGACUACCCCUCCACCUCCUCUGUUGCGGACUCCGUCGGCUCUCCUGCUGGCUGCGCCUCCCCCUUCGACCUCCUCAUAGACAUGGAGCCCUGCAUCGCCAACCUCCCUCUGUCCCCCGACCCCUUGUCCUCCUUCCACCGACACAGACCCAGCUUCCCUUUCUACCCAGGCUCCCACGGGCCUCCCUUCCCUCUCAUGGCCAGGUGUAACAGCAGCACCCUGCUCACAAACCUGGGGCUGAGGUACUGCUCCAACAGGCAGGGCCCUUUGGGGAUGGGGCCAGGUCAGGGGCCGGGCCCGGGCUCCUGCAACUACACAGGAAGCAACAGGCCUUACAGGAGUAUGGAGAACCUGAACUGGAACAAUGUGGCAGAUUCUGGUCUGUGUGCUUUCAGUGCUGCCCCCUACAGGAGCAUGGAUGGUGAGUUUAUUUUACGAUACACCUCCACUAGCCACUGGUAUGAUGGGCCACCAGAUGGAUCUAUGGUGGGGGCCCACGGACUGGUACCCAACCAAGAGAGCCUGGCGUUUUACCCUCGACAUGGGCUUCCCAGGAAGGACCUACCGCUCUUCCCUCAGGUGCUGUUUCCAGGUGCCGUCGACGAAUGGGAUGUGAGGAAAGGCCUGAGGGAGAAGCUCCGCCUCCAGAGUGCGAGGUCAUCAGUCGAGCCUCUGAAGCCCCUCCCAUUGCGGCCUCAGGCGACCCCAGGUGCUGCACCCAUCCAACUGGAGGGUGCACAUCAUGUGAAUUCAACAGUUGCUGGGUCCAGGCCGCCGUGCACAAUGCGCAUCACCAGUCCCGAGGAGAUUAAGCAGGAGGUCAUGAGGCGCUUACAACUCCGGCGGCAGAACAGCAGCCCCAACCUGGCUCUCCACAGCUCCCCAUCCAGCCCGGAAGUGGUUAAGACAUCCUACACAACAGACAACAUUACAGGUAGCGGGGGUGGAUCAGAGCGCCGCAGACCUCCUAUGGGACGCCUACAUAUCCCCACGUUUGAGGAGUUUAAGAGGAUGAGGCAGAAAGAGGGAGAACAGAACAAAGGGUCCACAGCGGGUUCUGUGGUAUCUGGAAAAUCUGAGGGUGAGUCGCCACAAGAAGCAGGAAUAUCAGACAGUGAGAUGCAUCCUUCUUAUCGGACUGUCCCUCAGGAGGGAGAAAUAAGCAGAAGGACCUCAGAGAGAUCUCCCUGUAUCACUGUGAGCUGUAACGGCACUUCAGCUCCCAUCUCCACUUCCGUCACCAGCACAUACUCUCCCAUCCGCACAGGCCCGUCUCCACGUUCACCCCUGCAGCCCCUGGCCAGCUCCACCCAGGAGAAGGCCCCCGCUGCAGGGGGAGAUGACGGGAGCACCAGGCGUAGGAGGAGCAGUCUGGAACCAGCUGGGUCGGUUCCUUUCCCGCCCAGCAGGGGGAACUGGGACCGGCCCUCCAGCUGCUGCCCUGCGCUCCUUCUGGAGGGGACGGACCUUUCCAGCUACGGAGCCAAGAUCUACAAGAUGAAGGACGGCCUCAUCGGCUCCGCACUGGACCUCAUCAAAAAGAGCUGCAGUGCAGAGAUCUCCGCCGAGGCCCCCGUCAGGCUGUCAGGUGACCGGGACGGAGGCUGUGACAUCACCGCCCCCUCGACCGACUGUCAUCCCUCCGCCGUUGCCAUGGCAACGUCGGCAACGGCCUGCGGAGCCGAGGCUGGCGACGAGACGCCUGCAGGAGGAGGAGGAGGAGGAAGAGAGGAAGCAGCAGAAUGCCACACCGGUCUGGGCUGCAGGCGCUCCAGCUCGGACGCAGCCUAUGAGCUGUCUGAGACGGUGAGGGCGCAGCGCGAGUGCCGUCUCCGGCCCCACUACAGCGAUCCCAUGCCGGCCGACGCCUCCAAGCGCAAACAGCUGGAGAUGAAGAUCGCUGCAGCCGCACGACUCCACGGCCAUCGCCGAGACCGCGACAGGGACCGAGACCGAGACAGCGCUCCAGCAGCAAUCCGUGGUCGCUCAGAGCCCCCCGGUGAGGAGCGCCAGGUGGGUCUGGGUGUGACUCGGUCCGGGCAGCAUCGCUGGAGCACCAUCAGCAGCUUGAGCGUGGACAGCGGAGUGGUGGGCCUCAGCGAUGAGCGGGAGGAGGAGGACAGCGAGCCUCGCCGUUACCGCAGGUACCGGGGAGCCGAGGUGGAGCGGGUGGACAGCGGCAUUGGCCCGGGUCUGUCCCGCACCUGGAAGAGACCAUCGGCCUCCCUCAGAGCCUGGGAGGCCCAGAGACCCUGUCCAGACUGUGGACUGAGGGACGGGGUCUCCAAAGAGCGAGGAGAGCGCAUGUGUGAACGUUGCUCCAAGCUGCGCACCGAGCGCAAGGAAGCCAUCCUGGAGUUUCUGAACACGGAGUCGAGCUACGGCGAAGACCUGCGGAUCAUCAGGGAGGAGUUUUACUGCCCCAUGCAGAGCGCUGCGCUGCUGACAGCCGAGCAGCUCACCGUGGUGUUUAGUAACGUUCAGGAGCUCAUAGACGUCAACGACCGCUUCACUGAACACCUGCAGGACAGCAUCGACCAGGGCUUUGACCAGGUGACACACACACACACACACACACACACACACACACACUCACACACACACUCACACUCACACUCACACUCACAAGGCUUGAACCAGGUGGUCUGGUGUUACAUAACUCACCUUCAGAAUCACAAUAUCUUUUCUUCUCACGGCCGCUGC
ensembl:lncRNA